UACGUAGGGUGCAAGCGUUAAUCGGAAUUACUGGGCGUAAAGCGUGCGCAGGCGGUUGUGCAAGACAGAUGUGGAAUCCCCGGGCUUAACCUGGGAAUGGCAUUUGUGACUGCACGGCUAGAGUGUGUCAGAGGGGGGUAGAAUUCCACGUGUAGCAGUGAAAUGCGUAGAUAUGUGGAGGAAUACCGAUGGCGAAGGCAGCCCCCUGGGAUAACACUGACGCUCAUGCACGAAAGCGUGGGGAGCAAACAGG
rnacentral:rRNA from 1 species